CUUGUUAAAAAUUUAUUUGUUUGAAUUUAAUGUAAAAAAAUGACAUUACUUUCCAGUCCCCCUUAUACUAAACAAUGAAUCUAAAUGAAAACCCAUCAUGAGCUGCCCACAAUCAUGGUGGGAUGCCAUUCAGGAAAUGGAUCCAACCUUCUUGAAAAAUUCUGGAGAUUGGGACCUACAAUUGAACCUACAUACUCUAAAUAGUAACCUAAUAUUCUUCUAUGAAGGUAUCCAACUGAUUAUUUUUCUUCCAACUUGUAAUAGAAAAAAGUAUAAAGGAAUGAUUAUUAUAUUAAAUACAAAGCUG
rnacentral:lncRNA from 1 species